GUUAUUUCCCCUAGUGCCAUGAACGUUUCUGUCCGCAACGUGCGGUAAACCUUCCGACGUUCUAAGGUGUUUCGUCGUCCCGUCGAUCAGUCGUUUCCGUUUGAUUUUGCUUAAUUUUGGAGUCGCCACCAAUUUAUUUGAAGCGAAUUGGACGCUUUAGAUUUAACACAAGUCUUCUUGGACACAAGUAACAUUAGAUCUGCGAAAC
rnacentral:lncRNA from 1 species